rnacentral:tRNA from 1 species
AAAAAGAUAAGCUAAUUAAGCUAAUGGGUUCAUAUCCCAUAUAUAAAAAUUUUAAUUUUUUUCUUUUUA